UGGGGAAUAUUGCACAAUGGGCGCAAGCCUGAUGCAGCCAUGCCGCGUGUAUGAAGAAGGCCUUCGGGUUGUAAAGUACUUUCAGCGGGGAGGAAGGGAGUAAAGUUAAUACCUUUGCUCAUUGACGUUACCCACAGAAGAAGCACCGGCUAACUCCGUGCCAGCAGCCGCGGUAAUACGGAGGGUGCAAGCGUUAAUCGGAAUUACUGGGCGUAAAGCGCACGCAGGCGGUUUGUUAAGUCAGAUGUGAAAUCCCCGGGCUCAACCUGGGAACUGCAUCUGAUACUGGCAAGCUUGAGUCUCGUAGAGGGGGGUAGAAUUCCAGGUGUAGCGGUGGAAUGCGCAGAUAUCUGGAGGAACACCGAUGGCGAAGGCAGGUCACUGGGCCACUACUGACGCUGAGGAGCGAAAGCAUGGGUAGCGAACAGG
rnacentral:rRNA from 1 species